rnacentral:lncRNA from 1 species
AUUAGACCGCGGAGUGUACAGACAGGAAGCUGAAGUAUUGAGCGCCUGACCAGAGCUUCCUCCUGUGCAAGAGUGGGGGUUUCUCCAACUUGAAUCUUUAGCUCUACGUGCACGGUCCGAGUCUUGAAGUCCAAAGGAUAGAAAGCACCCAAAUCUCUCAGCUGGGUCCUCCGAGCAUGGAGAACGGAUUGCUGCACUUAAGCCCGGCUUGCAAGAGAACAAAGCGGAGUGAUGUAAAAUAGAAAAUGAGAAAAGCAAACCUUUGGUGAUUGAAGAGGAGGAAGGAAAAUGAAAGAGAAAAAGCUGAAGAGUGGGAAAAAAGAUAAAAUAAAAUGAAUUUUGGGGAUUCCACUAUCGUGUCUGACAUGUACGGCCGGACCAGUCAUUUCUGGCGCUCGGUUCCACUACGUGUAUCAGGAAUUGGUUCGGGUGAGCAGUCCAUAGUGCCACGCGCUGGAAGACAGCACGUGCCUCGUGCCCAGCAUCUGCAACGUGUGCCUGGUUGGAUACCUGAGCGGAGGGAGAAAGCACUGCUGGAUUUGGGACCGGCUCCAUACGUGAAGAGCUCUUUUUUUUUUUUGUUCGGUGGAGGAGGACUACGAAAGUCAACGUGUUCUGCCUGGGCUGAAGGCAUCGUGGGCUUGAUGCAUUUGAAGGGUUCAGGAGGAGGAAUCCCUGCGGGCAGUUCCUUGUCUGACAUUGCUGACAGUCUUCAUGGAUGUGGUGAGAGCCCAGGGCCUGAUGCUGGAGCAGGGUUUUGCUUCGCAUCCAGGAGUCUCUGUCUGAUGGAACUGGUAGAGCAGAGUGCAGCUCAAGUGCAAAGCUUUUUCUUUGUGAUUGCACUGAAGGUUUGCUCUUGUGCUUUUCAAUAUUGA